CCACACAUGCAACAAGACAACAUAAACUAGGUUUGACUUGCUUAGAGAAACUGUAUCCCGACAGAGUCGUCAGUUGUCGCUAUGCGAAAACUGAACGACAAUGUCAAUUGACACAGAGUCGUCACCAAAUUUUAUUUAUUCCUAUAUAAAGAGGAAAUGGAAAAUAAUCGAUAAAACCUUAUAGAGGAAAGAAUAUGGAAA
rnacentral:lncRNA from 1 species